rnacentral:rRNA from 1 species
UACGGAAGGGGCAAGCAUUGUUCGGAAUCAUUGGGCGUAAAGGGCGCGUAGGUGGUUCUGUAUGUCUACCGUGAAAGCAUACGGCUCAACUGUAUUUUGUCGGUAGAAACUGCAGGACUUGAGGCUGGGAGGGGCUGGUGGAAUUCCCUGUGUAGCGGUGAAAUGCGUAGAGAUGGGGGAGAACACUCGUGGCGAAGGCGGCCAGCUAGACCAGUUCUGACACUGAGGCGCGACAGCGUGGGGAGCAAACAGG